CAGCAGCCGCGGUAAUCCGUAGGGUGCAAGCGUUAAUCGGAAUUACUGGGCGUAAAGCGUGCGCAGGCGGUUUGUUAAGACAGAUGUGAAAUCCCCGGGCUCAACCUGGGAACUGCAUUUGUGACUGGCGGGCUAGAGUAUGGCAGAGGGGGGUAGAAUUCCACGUGUAGCAGUGGAAUGCGUAGAGAUGUGGAGGAAUACCGAUGGCGAAGGCAGCCCCCUGGGCCAAUACUGACGCUCAUGCACGAAAGCGUGGGGAGCAAACAGGAUUAGAUACCCCGGUAGUCCCUGUCUCUUAUAC
rnacentral:rRNA from 1 species